rnacentral:lncRNA from 1 species
CUUAUUUGUUCCGUAGUUCAGCUGGUCACAGUCUGUCACAGAUGCCUACUGAUGGGACUUCCACCAUGGUUAAGAACCACAGGAGGCAGACCAGGACCAUGUCCACAGAUGCCUUUGAAUGCUUCACAAAUAUAUCUCAGCCCCACUUCAUCUCUGAGCACCUGCCCGAAAGCCUAAAAUGAAAAAGCAAACAUGUCAGAAUUAGAGAUU